UAGCAUAUCAAUAAGCGGAGGAAAAGAAACCAACAGGGAUUGCCCUAGUAACGGCGAGUGAAGCGGCAACAGCUCAAAUUUGAAAUCUGGCUUCGGCCCGAGUUGUAAUUUGUAGAGGAAGCUUUAGGCGCGGCACCUUCUGAGUCCCCUGGAACGGGGCGCCAUAGAGGGUGAGAGCCCCGUAUAGUUGGAUGCCUAGCCUGUGUAAAGCUCCUUCGACGAGUCGAGUAGUUUGGGAAUGCUGCUCAAAAUGGGAGGUAAAUUUCUUCUAAAGCUAAAUACCGGCCAGAGACCGAUAGCGCACAAGUAGAGUGAUCGAAAGAUGAAAAGCACUUUGAAAAGAGGGUUAAAUAGCACGUGAAAUUGUUGAAAGGGAAGCGCUUGUGACCAGACUUGCGCCGGGCUGAUCAUCCGGUGUUCUCACCGGUGCACUCUGCCCGGCUCAGGCCAGCAUCGGUUCUCGCGGGGGGAUAAAGGCCCAGGGAAUGUAGCUCCUCCGGGAGUGUUAUAGCCCGGGGCGCAAUGCCCUCGCGGGGACCGAGGUUCGCGCUCUGCAAGGAUGCUGGCGUAAUGGUCAUCAGCGACCCGUCUUGAAACACGGACCAAGGAGUCAAGGUUUUGCGCGAGUGUUUGGGUGUAAAACCCGCACGCGUAAUGAAAGUGAACGUAGGUGAGAGCUUCGGCGCAUCAUCGACCGAUCCUGAUGUUUUCGGAUGGAUUUGAGUAAGAGCGUUAAGCCUUGGACCCGAAAGAUGGUGAACUAUGCUUGGAUAGGGUGAAGCCAGAGGAAACUCUGGUGGAGGCUCGCAGCGGUUCUGACGUGCAAAUCGAUCGUCAAAUCUGAGCAUGGGGGGCGAAAGACUAAUCGAACCAUCUAGUAGCUGGUUACCGCCGAU
rnacentral:rRNA from 1 species